UACGGAAGGCAGCAGUGGGGAAUAUUGCACAAUGGGCGCAAGCCUGAUGCAGCCAUGCCGCGUGUAUGAAAAAGGCCUUCGGGUUGUAAAGUACUUUCAGUCGUGAGGAAGGUGUUAAGGUUAAUAACCUUAGCAAUUGACGUUAGCGACAGAAGAAGCACCGGCUAACUCCGUGCCAGCAGCCGCGGUAAUACGGAGGGUGCGAGCGUUAAUCGGAAUUACUGGGCGUAAAGGGCACGCAGGCGGUUAAUUAAGUUGGAUGUGAAAUCCCCGGGCUUAACCUGGGAAUGGCAUUCAAGACUGGUUAGCUAGAGUCUUGUAGAGGGGGUAGAAUUCCAUGUGUAGCGGUGAAAUGCGUAGAGAUGUGGAGGAAUACCGGUGGCGAAGGCGGCCCCUGGCAAAGACUGACGCUCAUGUGCGAAAGCGUGGGGAGCAAAC
rnacentral:rRNA from 1 species